rnacentral:rRNA from 1 species
ACUGCUAUCGAGAUGGGACUAAGGUAUGCUAGUCGAACGACCAGAACUAUGUCUGGAAGUGGCACACUGCUCAGUAACACGUAGCUAACCUACCUUUAGGACGUGGAUACCCCCGAGAAAUUGGGGUUAAUCCGCGAUAGAUGUAAUGUCCUGGAAUGGUAUUACGUCUAAAGGUAUUUCAUACAUGUUUGAAAUAUGCCUAAGGACGGGGCUGCGGCCGAUCAGGCUGUUGGUGAGGUAAUGGCUCACCAAACCUUUGACCGGUACGGGCCAUGAGAGUGGUAGCCCGGAGAUGGACACUGAGACAAGGGUCCAGGCCCUAAGGGGCGCAGCAACCGCGAAACCUCCACAAUGCACUCACGUGCGAUGGGGCUAUCUCGAGUGCCACCUGAUGAAGGUGGCUUUUCCUAGGUCUUCAAAGCCUUGGGAAUAAGAGGGGGGCAAGACUGGUGUCAGCCGCCGCGGUAACACCAGCCCCUCGAGUGGUGGGGAUGAUUAUUUGGCCUAAAGCGUCCGUAGCCGGCCGUGAAAGUCUUCCGUUAAAUCCAGCGUCUCAAGCGUUGGACUGCGGGAGAUACUACACGGCUAGAGAGUGGGAGAGGUCAGCGGUAUUCCGGGGGUAGGGGCGAAAUCCUUUGAUCCCCGGAGGACCACCAGUGGCGAAGGCUGCUGACUAGAACACGUCUGACGGUCAGGGACGAAAGCUGGGGUAGCGAACCGGAUUAGAUACCCGGGUAGUCCCAGCCGUAAACGAUGCAUGCUAGGUGUUGGGUUGGCCACGAGCCACCCCAGUGCCGCAGGGAAGCCGUUAAACAUGCCGCCUGGGAAGUACGAUCGCAAGGUUGAAACUUAAAGGAAUUGGCGGGGGAGCACCACCAGGCGUGAAGCCUGCGGUUUAAUUGGAGUCAACGCCGGA